rnacentral:rRNA from 1 species
CCUACGGGGGGCAGCAGUGAGGAAUAUUGGUCAAUGGGCGAGAGCCUGAACCAGCCAAGUCGCGUGAGGGACGACGGUCCUAUGGAUUGUAAACCUCUUUUGUCGGGGAACAAAGGCGCCCACGGGUGGGCGGAUGAGUGUACCCGAAGAAAAAGAAUCGGCUAAUUCCGUGCCAGCAGCCGCGGUAAUACGGAAGGUCCGGGCGUUAUCCGGAUUUAUUGGGUUUAAAGGGAGCGUAGGCCGCAUGUCAAGCGUGCUGUGAAAUGUCCGGGCUCAACCCGGGCCUUGCAGCGCGAACUGGCGUGCUUGAGUGCGCGGAAAGCAGGCGGAAUUCGUGGUGUAGCGGUGAAAUGCUUAGAUAUGACGAAGAACCCCGAUUGCGAAGGCAGCUGGCUGCAGCGGAACUGACGCUGAUGCUCGAAAGCGCGGGUAUCGAACAGGAUUAGAUACCCUUGUAGUC